UUCAAUUUAGUCGAUAGAAUGUUAUAAAAGGAUGCGAUCGACGUUAUUAUGCAUUAAAAAUAAACAAGUCUGUUACAAUGAUUAUUGUUUUUACAAAUAUGUAUACUUCAUAUAUUACUGGACGCAAAGAACACAGGGUCCUAUAACAGACUAGCAGACCUGGUGUUCGAUAUGAACACAGUGGAAUAAAGUCUCGAUGUUGGACUUUAACACCAUGCAAAUCUUAGUUUUGUGGAGGAACGACGUUUAAAUCAUCGACUAAAUACCUCCACGUUUCACAAGUGUCAUCUUGACUUUGUCAAGGACUUGCUUGGUUUUUUUAUUUCUAUUUUUCAAUUCAUGCUCUUACGCUUAUCUCAUCAUUCGAACUGUAGCAAUUUAAAACGUUUAGUGUAUUGCUUUUAAGAUUUUUUUUGGAGAAUUGAUAAUUUGUAACUUUAAAUAGUGCAUAUUAGAACUCAAAGUUUUCUAAAUACAAAAUUAAACUUGAUUAUACUAUUCUUCCAACGGCUAAUUUCACUGAAUAAAAAAAUGUAUCAUUUA